GUUAUGAUGGCAGAACCCGGAAUUGCAAAAGACCUAAGCUCUUCGAAUAGGGGUUCAAAUCCCCUUCCUAACU
rnacentral:tRNA from 1 species